UACGGGGGGGGCAAGCGUUGUUCGGAAUUACUGGGCGUAAAGGGCUCGUAGGCGGCCAACUAAGUCAGACGUGAAAUCCCUCGGCUUAACCGGGGAACUGCAUCUGAUACUGGAUGGCUUGAGAUUGGGAGAGGGAUGCGGAAUUCCAGGUGUAGCGGUGAAAUGCGUAGGUAUCUGGAGGAACACCGGUGGCGAAGGCGGCAUCCUGGACCAACACUGACGCUGAGGAGCGAAAGCCAGGGGAGCAAACGGG
rnacentral:rRNA from 1 species